UACGGAGGAUGCAAGCGUUAUCCGGAAUGAUUGGGCGUAAAGCGUCCGCAGGUGGCUGUGUAAGUCUGCUGUUAAAGAGUCUAGCUCAACUAGAUACAAGCAGUGGAAACUACACGGCUAGAGUACGUUCGGGGCAGAGGGAAUUCCUGGUGUAGCGGUGAAAUGCGUAGAGAUCAGGAAGAACACCGGUGGCGAAAGCGCUCUGCUAGGCCGCAACUGACACUGAGGGACGAAAGCUAGGGGAGCGAAUGGG
rnacentral:rRNA from 1 species